ACACAUGCAAGUCGAGGGGCAGCAUGGUCUUAGCUUGCUAAGGCCGAUGGCGACCGGCGCACGGGUGAGUAACGCGUAUCCAACCUGCCUUACACUCUUGGACAGCCUUCUGAAAGGGAGAUUAAUACAAGAUGUUAUCAUGAGUAAGCAUUUUCGCAUGAUUAAAGGCUUACCGGUGUAAGAUGGGGAUGCGUUCCAUUAGAUAGUAGGCGGGGUAACGGCCCACCUAGUCUUCGAUGGAUAGGGGUUCUGAGAGGAAGGUCCCCCACAUUGGAACUGAGACACGGUCCAAACUCCUACGGGAGGCAGCAGUGAGGAAUAUUGGUCAAUGGACGAGAGUCUGAACCAGCCAAGUAGCGUGAAGGAUGAAGGUUCUAUGGAUUGUAAACUUCUUUUAUACGGGAAUAAACGAAUCCACGCGUGGAUUUUUGCAUGUACCGUAUGAAUAAGGAUCGGCUAACUCCGUGCCAGCAGCCGCGGUAAUACGGAGGAUCCGAGCGUUAUCCGGAUUUAUUGGGUUUAAAGGGAGCGUAGAUGGGUUGUUAAGUCAGUUGUGAAAGUUUGCGGCUCAACCGUAAAAUUGCAAUUGAUACUGGCAGUCUUGAGUACAGUUGAGGUAGGCGGAAUUCGUGGUGUAGCGGUGAAAUGCUUAGAUAUCACGAAGAACUCCGAUUGCGAAGGCAGCUUACUAACCUGUAACUGACAUUGAUGCUCGAAAGUGUGGGUAUCAAACAGGAUUAGAUACCCUGGUAGUCCACACGGUAAACGAUGAAUACUCGCUGUAGGCGAUAUACGGUCUGCGGCCAAGCGAAAGCAUUAAGUAUUCCACCUGGGGAGUACGCCGGCAACGGUGAAACUCAAAGGAAUUGACGGGGGCCCGCACAAGCGGAGGAACAUGUGGUUUAAUUC
rnacentral:rRNA from 1 species